rnacentral:rRNA from 1 species
GACGAACGCUGGCGGCGUGCUUAACACAUGCAAGUCGAACGGAAAGGCCCUGCUUUUGUGGGGUGCUCGAGUGGCGAACGGGUGAGUAACACGUGAGUAACCUGCCCUUGACUUUGGGAUAACUUCAGGAAACUGGGGCUAAUACCGGAUAGGAGCUCCUGCUGCAUGGUGGGGGUUGGAAAGUUUCGGCGGUUGGGGAUGGACUCGCGGCUUAUCAGCUUGUUGGUGGGGUAGUGGCUUACCAAGGCUUUGACGGGUAGCCGGCCUGAGAGGGUGACCGGCCACAUUGGGACUGAAAUACGGCCCAGACUCCUACGGGAGGCAGCAGUGGGGAAUAUUGCACAAUGGGCGGAAGCCCGAUGCAGCAACGCCGCGUGCGGGAUGACGGCCUUCGGUUUGUAAACCGCUUUCGCCUGUGACGAAGCGUGAGUGACGGUAAUGGAUAAAGAAGCACCGGCUAACUACGUG